CACCGCGGUUAUACGAGAGGCUCAAAUUGAUAGCCAACGGCGUAAAGUGUGGUUAAGGAAACUCCUCAAACUAAAGCCGAAUGUCUUCACAGCAGUCAUACGCUACCGAAGGUAAGAAGCCCCUCAACGAAAGUGACUUUAUAUGACCUGAACCCACGAAAGCUAGGAAA
rnacentral:rRNA from 1 species